rnacentral:rRNA from 1 species
UAAUAUAUCGGAACGUAUCCAAUAAUGGGGGAUAACUAGUCGAAAGAUUAGCUAAUACCGCAUACGCCCUGAGGGGGAAAGCUGGGGAUCUUCGGACCUAGCGUUAAUGGAGCGGCCGAUAUCUGAUUAGCUAGUAGGUGAGGUAAGAGCUCACCUAGGCGACGAUCAGUAGCUGGUCUGAGAGGACGACCAGCCACACUGGAACUGAGACACGGUCCAG